GAUGAACGCUGGCGGUGUGCCUAAUACAUGCAAGUCGAGCGGUAACACUUCGGGUGACGAGCGGCGGACGGCAGAGUAACGCGUAGGAACGUACCCCAAACAGAGGGAUAGCCCACCGAAAGGUGGAUUAAUACCGCAUAAUAUCUUCGGAUUAAAGCUACGGCGGUUUGGGAGCUGCCUGCGUAUGAUUAGCUAGUUGGUAGAGUAAUAGCCUACCAAGGCAAAGAUCAUUAGCUGGUCUGAGAGGAUGAGCAGCCUGACUGGAACUGAGAACGGUCCAGACUCCUACGGGAGGAAGCAGUAGGGAAUUUUCCGCAAUGGCCGAAAGCCUGACGGAGCAACACCGCGUGCAGGAGGAAGGCUUUCGGGUUGUAAACUGCUUUUAUCUGUGACGAUUAUGACGGUAGCAGAAGAAUAAGGAUCGGCUAAUUCCGUGCCAGCCGCCGCGGUAA
rnacentral:rRNA from 1 species